UUUUUACUGGCAUAUAAAAUCUCUAAGAAAAUAAUAUUAAUAUUAAAGGGGAAAAUUUGCCAUACAUCUGAAAUAAUAAGCCACUAAAUAAUACAAUAGAGAGUACACUCAAAUCUGACUAAAUUCAAUAGGUUUGCCAGAGUCACCAAAACAAUUCUCCAGGCAAGCACAAAAUGGGCCAUAACAAAGACUCGCAGCUUCUGAGUUGCUAACACAAAUUCUUAAAGCUUACUACAAACAGCUAUAUAACUCAGCAAAAGUUUUAACAAUCAGAAAUUUUUUCAUAGAAUAGUAAGGUUGCCUCAGCAUCUAGAACAUCUUUCUCAGAAACACUAUGCACGUCGGUAUCUGAGAUGCAAAACCACUGAUCAACAAUAGAUCCCAGUAGUCCUGCAGGAUCGUCUUCGCUUAUUUUUGCUGUUGCUCGUCUGUAAACGGUGUAAUGCCCGCUACCAACUCUUCCAAAGUGCUGCACAACAGAGGCUAGUCGAUACUUAUGAUGUUUGGAAAGUGUUAUUGAGGAAGCUUCACCCUGCAACACAAAAGAUAAAGAGGAACAACUAAGCUAGAUAAACAUGAAACUAAGAUUGCUGGGAGGUUUUUAUGUACAUAUUUGUUAAUCAUGAAGCUGAAAUCUUGAUAGCAAAUAGAAAUGUAUCGAAAGCUCAUUUAAGGGUAGAGAAUUAAAUGCACAAUGAUUGACCUUGUAAUAACUGUACAAACACAAAAUGUUGAAUAAACUGUAGAUGUUAAAAGGCUCCAACGUUAGUCUCCAUCUGUUCCCAUGAGGUUAGUACUAUAAGCAGACAUCAUGGUAUUCUGGUUGAUCCUUACAGUGUGACUAUGUUAGGUUCAACAAGGGUUAGGGAACUAUGGGAGUGGACAAGAGCAAAUGAACACGGAACAGAGCAAUAGAGCGUAACAUGGAAAACAAUGUGCCCCCUACUUCUAAAUUAGUCACCAUCUGUUCCCUAAGAAGUUAAUACUGUAAUUAGACAUAGUACAAUUUGGUUUGUUCCUUAAAAUGUGACUCUUAGGUCCAAACGAAGUAAAGAAAUACCAAGGGUCCAGGAAUAAGUGAUCAAUUACAGUCUAUUGGUUCCAUCUGUUCCCAUGAGGUUAGUACUAUAAGCAGACAUCAUGGUAUUCUGGUUGAUCCUUACAGUGUGACUAUGUU
rnacentral:lncRNA from 1 species